rnacentral:rRNA from 1 species
GACGAACGCUGGCGGCGUGCUUAACACAUGCAAGUCGAACGGAAAGGCCCUGCUUUUGUGGGGUGCUCGAGUGGCGAACGGGUGAGUAACACGUGAGUAACCUGCCCUUGACUUUGGGAUAACUUCAGGAAACUGGGGCUAAUACCGGAUAGGAGCUCCUGCUGCAUGGUGGGGGUUGGAAAGUUUCGGCGGUUGGGGAUGGACUCGCGGCUUAUCAGCUUGUUGGUGGGGUAGUGGCUUACCAAGGCUUUGACGGGUAGCCGGCCUGAGAGGGUGACCGGCCACAAUGGGACUGAGAGACGGCCCAGACUCCUACGGGAGGCAGCGGUGGGGAAUAUUGCACAAUGGGCGGAAGCCUGAUGCAGCAACGCCGCGUGCGGGAUGACGGCCUUCGGGUUGUAAACCGCUUUCGCCUGUGACGAAGCGUGAGUGACGGUAAUGGGUAAAGAAGCACCGGCUAACUACGUG